CCUACGGGGGGCAGCAGUGGGGAAUAUUGCACAAUGGGGGAAACCCUGAUGCAGCGACGCCGCGUGAGUGAAGAAGUAUUUCGGUAUGUAAAGCUCUAUCAGCAGGGAAGAAAAUGACGGUACCUGAGUAAGAAGCCCCGGCUAACGACGUGCCAGCAGCCGCGGUAAUACGUAGGGGGCAAGCGUUAUCCGGAUUUACUGGGUGUAAAGGGAGCGUAGACGGCAGCACAAGUCUGGAGUGAAAUGCCGGGGCUUAACCCCGGAACUGCUUGGGAAACUGUGCAGCUAGAGUGCAGGCGAGGUAAGUGGAAUUCCUAGUGUAGCGGUGAAAUGCUUAGAUAUUAGGAGGAACACCAGUGGCGAAGGCGGCUUACUGGACUGUAACUGACGUUGAGGCUCGAACGCGUGGGGAGCAAACAGGAUUAGAUACCCUAGUAGUC
rnacentral:rRNA from 1 species